rnacentral:rRNA from 1 species
GAUGAACGCUGGCGGUAUGCUUAACACAUGCAAGUCGUACGAAAGUUUUUAACUUUAGUGGCGGACGGGUGAGUAACACGUGAGAAUUUACCUUUAGGAGGGGGAUAACAAUUGGAAACGAAUGCUAAUACCCCAUAUGCUUUUGAGUGAAAUGGAUUUAUCCGCCUAGAGAGAAGCUCGCGGCUGAUUAGCUUGUUGGUAAGGUAAGAGCUUACCAAGGCGACGAUCAGUAUCUGGUUUGAGAGGACGAUCAGACACACUGGAACUGAGACACGGUCCAGACUCCUACGGGAGGCAGCAGUGGGGAAUUUUCCGCAAUGGGCGAAAGCCUGACGGAGCAAUACCGCGUGAGGGAAGACGGCCUAUGGGUUGUAAACCUCUUUUUUCAGGGA